GCCUGGGUGGCUUAGUCGAUUGAGCAUCUGACUUCAGCUCAGGUCAUGAUCUCACGGUUCGUGGAUUCGAGCCCUGCAUCAGGCU
rnacentral:tRNA from 1 species